CGUCGUGAAGAGGGAAACAACCCAGACCGCCAGCUAAGGUCCCAAAGUCAUGGUUAAGUGGGAAACGAUGUGGGAAGGCCCAGACAGCCAGGAUGUUGGCUUAGAAGCAGCCAUCAUUUAAAGAAAGCGUAAUAGCUCACUGGUCGAGUCGGCCUGCGCGGAAGAUGUAACGGGGCUAAACCAUGCACCGAAGCUGCGGCAGCGACGCUUAUGCGUUGUUGGGUAGGGGAGCGUUCUGUAAGCCUGUGAAGGUGUGCUGUGAGGUAUGCUGGAGGUAUCAGAAGUGCGAAUGCUGACAUAAGUAACGAUAAAGCGGGUGAAAAGCCCGCUCGCCGGAAGACCAAGGGUUCCUGUCCAACGUUAAUCGGGGCAGGGUGAGUCGACCCCUAAGGCGAGGCCGAAAGGCGUAGUCGAUGGGAAACAGGUUAAUAUUCCUGUACUUGGUGUUACUGCGAAGGGGGGACGGAGAAGGCUAUGUUGGCCGGGCGACGGUUGUCCCGGUUUAAGCGUGUAGGCUGGUUUUCCAGGCAAAUCCGGAAAAUCAAGGCCGAGGCGUGAUGACAAGGCACUACGGUGCUGAAGCAACAAAUGCCCUGCUUCCAGGAAAAGCCUCUAAGCAUCAGGUAACAUCAAAUCGUACCCCAAACCGACACAGGUGGUCAGGUAGAGAAUACCAAGGCGCUUGAGAGAACUCGGGUGAAGGAACUAGGCAAAAUGGUGCCGUAACUUCGGGAGAAGGCACGCUGAUACGUAGGUGAAGCGACUUGCUCGUGGAGCUGAAAUCAGUCGAAGAUACCAGCUGGCUGCAACUGUUUAUUAAAAACACAGCACUGUGCAAACACGAAAGUGGACGUAUACGGUGUGACGCCUGCCCGGUGCCGGAAGGUUAAUUGAUGGGGUUAGCGCAAGCGAAGCUCUUGAUCGAAGCCCCGGUAAACGGCGGCCGUAACUAUAACGGUCCUAAGGUAGCGAAAUUCCUUGUCGGGUAAGUUCCGACCUGCACGAAUGGCGUAAUGAUGGCCAGGCUGUCUCCACCCGAGACUCAGUGAAAUUGAACUCGCUGUGAAGAUGCAGUGUACCCGCGGCAAGACGGAAAGACCCCGUGAACCUUUACUAUAGCUUGACACUGAACAUUGAGCCUUGAUGUGUAGGAUAGGUGGGAGGCUUUGAAGUGUGGACGCCAGUCUGCAUGGAGCCGACCUUGAAAUACCACCCUUUAAUGUUUGAUGUUCUAACGUGGACCCGUAAUCCGGGUUGCGGACAGUGUCUGGUGGGUAGUUUGACUGGGGCGGUCUCCUCCUAAAGAGUAACGGAGGAGCACGAAGGUUGGCUAAUCCUGGUCGGACAUCAGGAGGUUAGUGCAAUGGCAUAAGCCAGCUUGACUGCGAGCGUGACGGCGCGAGCAGGUGCGAAAGCAGGUCAUAGUGAUCCGGUGGUUCUGAAUGGAAGGGCCAUCGCU
rnacentral:rRNA from 1 species